CCGGGGCCUUAGCUAGUGGGAGGUAACGGCUCACCAAGGCCCCGAUGCAUAGCCGACCUGAGAGGUGAUCGGCCACACUGGGACUGAGACACGGCCCAGAUUCCUACGGGAGGCAGCAGUAGGGAUCUUCGGCAAUGACGAAAGUCUGACCGAGCAACGCCGCGUGAGUGAAGAAGGUUUUCGGAUCGUAAAACUCUGUUGUUAGAGAAGAACAAGGACGUUAGUAACUGAACGUCCCCUGACGGUAUCUAACCAGAAAGCCACGGCUAACUACGUGCCAGCAGCCGCGGUAAUACGUAGGUGGCAAGCGUUGUCCGGAUUUAUUGGGCGUAAAGCGAGCGCAGGCGGUUUCUUAAGUCUGAUGUGAAAGCCCCCGGCUCAACCGGGGAGGGUCAUUGGAAACUGGGAGACUUGAGUGCAGAAGAGGAGAGUGGAAUUCCAUGUGUAGCGGUGAAAUGCGUAGAUAUAUGGAGGAACACCAGUGGCGAAGGCGGCUCUCUGGUCUGUAACUGACGCUGAGGCUCGAAAGCGUGGGGAGCAAACAGGAUUAGAUACCCUGGUAGUCCACGCCGUAAACGAUGAGUGCUAAGUGUUGGAGGGUUUCCGCCCUUCAGUGCUGCAGCAAACGCAUUAAGCACUCCGCCUGGGGAGUACGACCGCAAGGUUGAAACUCAAAGGAAUUGACGGGGGCCCGCACAAGCGGUGGAGCAUGUGGUUUAAUUCGAAGCAACGCGAAGAACCUUACCAGGUCUUGACAUCCUUUGACCACUCUAGAGAUAGAGCUUUCCCUUCGGGGACAAAGUGACAGGUGGUGCAUGGUUGUCGUCAGCUCGUGUCGUGAGAUGUUGGGUUAAGUCCCGCAACGAGCGCAACCCUUAUUGUUAGUUGCCAUCAUUUAGUUGGGCACUCUAGCGAGACUGCCGGUGACAAACCGGAGGAAGGUGGGGAUGACGUCAAAUCAUCAUGCCCCUUAUGACCUGGGCUACACACGUGCUACAAUGGGAAGUACAACGAGUCGCUAGACCGCGAGGUCAUGCAAAUCUCUUAAAGCUUCUCUCAGUUCGGAUUGCAGGCUGCAACUCGCCUGCAUGAAGCCGGAAUCGCUAGUAAUCGCGGAUCAGCACGCCGCGGUGAAUACGUUCCCGGGCCUUGUACACACCGCCCGUCACACCACGAGAGUUUGUAACACCCGAAGUCGGUGAGGUAACCUUUUUGGAGCCAGCCGCCUAAGG
rnacentral:rRNA from 1 species